rnacentral:rRNA from 1 species
AUGAUAGAUCUGAAGAAGGUGAUGACCCGGAACAUGGAGCUAGAAGAGGAACUCAAGACUACAUGCGAUGGAUACGAGGAGGAAAUCGCAAUACUAGUGAAGAAGAAUGACGACCUGACGAGGAAGCUAGGCGUAUUCAUGGGAGACCCCGCGCCAGGAGGAGAUGACCACCAUCCUGAUGACAUUCAUUCUGAAGACUACAUCAUCAUCGACGACACCGACUCCGACCCCGACAGUAGUGAUGAUGACUAUGAAGACGAAGCUGGAGCGGAUAUCAUGGAGUCUUCCACCGAUCAAAAUUUCUAG